AAGUCGUAACAAGGUUUCCGUAGGUGAACCUGCGGAAGGAUCAUUAACACGUAUUAUACUAUACGUUUUAAAUUUCAAACCCCCCCAUAUAAUGUUGAACUGUAUCCGUUCCCUCCCUUUUUUUUUUAAAACCCCAUUUAAAAAGUACUAAAAAAAUUGCUAAUAAUCAAGAAAUUUCUCCAUCGUGGGAAAAUGUCUCUGUUUAUUAAUAGUUGAAUCAAUUAAAAUAACGAACAACUCUUAACAACGGAUAUCUUGGUUCUC
rnacentral:misc_RNA from 1 species